UACGAAGGGGGCUAGCGUUGCUCGGAAUGACUGGGCGUAAAGGGCGCGUAGGCGGUUUGCCAAGUUAGAUGUGAAAUUCCUGGGCUUAACCUGGGGGCUGCAUUUGAUACUGGCAGACUUGAGUUCGGAAGAGGGUCGUGGAAUUCCCAGUGUAGAGGUGAAAUUCGUAGAUAUUGGGAAGAACACCGGUGGCGAAGGCGGCGACCUGGUCCGAUACUGACGCUGAGGCGCGAAAGCGUGGGGAGCAAAC
rnacentral:rRNA from 1 species